GUUUGCCUCGGCAGCACAUAUACUAAAAUUGGAAUGAUACAGAGAAGAUUAGCGUGGUCACUGUGCAAGGAUGACAUGCAAAUUUGUGAAGUGUUCCAUAUUUUU